rnacentral:misc_RNA from 1 species
GAUGAAGAACGCAGCGAAAUGCGAUAAGUAAUGUGAAUUGCAGAAUUCAGUGAAUCAUCGAAUCUUUGAACGCACAUUGCGCCCGCCAGUAUUCUGGCGGGCAUGCCUGUUCGAGCGUCAUUACAACCCUCAGGCCCCCGGGCCUGGCGUUGGGGAUCGGCGGAAGCCCCCUGCGGGCACAACGCCGUCCCCCAAAUACAGUGGCGGUCCCGCCGCAGCUUCCAUUGCGUAGUAGCUAACACCUCGCAACUGGAGAGCGGCGCGGCCACGCCGUAAAACACCCAACUUCUGAAUGUUGACCUCGAAUCAGGUAGGAAUACCCGCUGAACUUAAGCAUAUCAAUAAGCGGAGGU